CUCACAAAACCUUCAGAUUCAAUAGCUACCUUGUUUAUUUGAGGUCACUAUUUGUUUGUCCAUGUUAUUCUAUGCAGGGAUCCAACUAUCCACGACUCUUUUAGGGUGCUUUCGCUCCUUCUACGGUUAUCCACCAAGUUUUCUUGUGGUGCUGUUCAUGUUCAAAUUUGGCUAUGCCAGGAAACUCUCAUAUGUUCUAUCCACAGUUUUUGGGGCUCUGUGUUCAUUCUCCCACAGAGUGUAGUGAAAGAGGUGGACAGGAUCUGUAAAGAUUUCCUAUGGGGAGGUACAGAGGAGAAGAGGAAGAUCUCCCUAGUAGCUUGGGCUAAAGUCUGCUUGCCAAAAAGCUGUGGGGGUUUGAAUGUUAUAAGGUGUAAGGAGUGAAAUAAGGCUUCAGUUGGGAUGUUGCUUUGGCAGCUUAUUGUGAAAAAAGACAGCUUAUGGGUGAAAUGGGUACGUGGACUAUAUAUAAAAACAGAUUCAAGUAUCUGGGCUCAUCUGCCCCCUAGGACAGUAGCUGAUAUUGGAGGAAGUUAAACUAUUUGAAGCAGGAAAUGCAUACUUGGUUUCAGCAAGACCAGUACAUUUUAAGCCACUCAGGACAGUACUCAAUUACAAAGAGUUACAUGGCCAUUAUUGGAACUCACAGGAAACUAGAAACUGCUGACCUUAUUUGGAAUGCAAUUUCCCAGCCUAAACACAGAUUUAUUACCUGGCUGGCUUAUCACAAUAGGUUGCUAACAAGGGAGAGACUACAACAGUUACACAUCCCAGUCAAUGAUACCAGCUGCUGUAUGUGUAACGAUCAGGUUGAUGAGACUGCCCAGCUCCUGUUUAUGGAAUGUAGUUGGUCAAAAGAAGUGCGAGUUACAGUAAUGCAAUGGGCUGGUAUUAAAUUGUCCGGAGGAGAUGUGCCCCUGGUUCUAAGGAGUAUCAAAAAGGAUAAAUGGAAGCAAUUCAAGAAGUAGUUGCAGCUAUUCUGGAAGCAGUCAUCUACCACACCUAGAAAGCUAGGAACUGGAAAAUUGUUAGAGGAAUUAAUGUAAAUACUGAGGUUACAGUUAUACAGAUUAAAAAAGAAGUAGAUAGGCUGGAACUGUUUAGGAACUCAAAGAAAGCACAAAAAUGUAGUGGUUUUUUGCGGGCAAUAGCUGUAUAGUUCAGACAUGCUGAGGCCAUUGCUCACAGUUUAUUGCGAGGAGAUGCUCUUUAGUUUGUAACUGUUCGAUUGAUAUUAAUGGUAAUUCACAAUGUUACCCAAAAAAAAAAAAAAAACAGUGCAAUAUAAUAAGAAUUUGAAAAGAAAACUACAUAUUGUACUAAGAAACAUGCGAAAUGCAUCUGGCAUCUCUAUAUAGAUCAUCCCAAUUAUGUGGCAUAAAUAUCUCGACCUUCAAUGUAAAACAAAACAGAAACAAAUACUGCAGGAACAUUAAGUCAUCACUAACAUUUCUUAUACAGACCGUCAAACAUCUAGGUGGAUUUUAUUACCAAAUCAUAGUAUCCACAAUAUUAACUUAUAUUAGAGGAAUAGCAUUGAUCCAAUAUUUCCUCUUACUUUAAGAAAGCGCCACAAGUAUCUUUCCAGUGGGCAUACAACUUCGCAGCGGCAGACAGACUUCACAUGAAGUUGGAGAAGAACUACGCUGUGAUAUUUGAAGCAGCUUGAAAAGCUCGGAUAAAGCUCUCUGGAGGUUGGCCACCACUCAACUGAUACUUGCCAUUUAAC